AAGUCGAACGAACUCUGGUAUUGAUUGGUGCUUGCAUCAUGAUUUACAUUUGAGUGAGUGGCGAACUGGUGAGUAACACGUGGGAAACCUGCCCAGAAGCGGGGGAUAACACCUGGAAACAGAUGCUAAUACCGCAUAACAACUUGGACCGCAUGGUCCGAGUUUGAAAGAUGGCUUCGGCUAUCACUUUUGGAUGGUCCCGCGGCGUAUUAGCUAGAUGGUGGGGUAACGGCUCACCAUGGCAAUGAUACGUAGCCGACCUGAGAGGGUAAUCGGCCACAUUGGGACUGAGACACGGCCCAAACUCCUACGGGAGGCAGCAGUAGGGAAUCUUCCACAAUGGACGAAAGUCUGAUGGAGCAACGCCGCGUGAGUGAAGAAGGGUUUCGGCUCGUAAAACUCUGUUGUUAAAGAAGAACAUAUCUGAGAGUAACUGUUCAGGUAUUGACGGUAUUUAACCAGAAAGCCACGGCUAACUACGUGCCAGCAGCCGCGGUAAUACGUAGGUGGCAAGCGUUGUCCGGAUUUAUUGGGCGUAAAGCGAGCGCAGGCGGUUUUUUAAGUCUGAUGUGAAAGCCUUCGGCUCAACCGAAGAAGUGCAUCGGAAACUGGGAAACUUGAGUGCAGAAGAGGACAGUGGAACUCCAUGUGUAGCGGUGAAAUGCGUAGAUAUAUGGAAGAACACCAGUGGCGAAGGCGGCUGUCUGGUCUGUAACUGACGCUGA
rnacentral:rRNA from 1 species